CAGCCGCCGCGGGAAAACGAAGGGUGCAAGCGUUACUCGGAAUUACUGGGCGUAAAGCGUGCGUAGGUGGUUGUUUAAGUCUGCUGUGAAAGCCCUGGGCUCAACCUGGGAAUUGCAGUGGAUACUGGGCAACUAGAGUAAGGUAGAGGAUAGUGGAAUUUCCGGUGUAGCAGUGAAAUGCGUAGAGAUCGGAAGGAACAUCUGUGGCGAAGGCGACUAUCUGGGCCAUUACUGACACUGAGGCACGAAAGCGUGGGGAGCAAACAGGAUUAGAUACCCCAGUAGUCCCUGUCUCUUAUAC
rnacentral:rRNA from 1 species